rnacentral:tRNA from 1 species
AAUGAAUUGCCUGAUUAAAGGAUUACUAUGAUAAAGUAAAUAAUGUAAUUUAUUACAUUCAUUA